rnacentral:rRNA from 1 species
CAUGUCCUUUUGAAUAUAAUUUAAGGUCUGAUCUGCUCAAUGAAUUUUAAAUAGCCGCAGUAUUUUGACUGUGCUAAGGUAGCAUAAUAAUUAGUUUCUUAAUUAGGAACUGGAAUGAAUGAUUGGACAAGAAAAUUUCUGUCUCUUUUUUAAUUAUUGAAUUUUAUUUUUAAGUGAAAAAGCUUAAAUGUUUAUAAAAGACGAGAAGACCCUAUAGAGUUUAAUAUUUUUUUUUAAUUAUAAAUUAGAAUAUUAUUUUAAAUUAAAUUAUUUGGUUGGGGUGAUUUAAAGAUAUAAUUAAUUCUUUAAAAUAAUAAUUAAAGAUUUUUAAAUUUUAAAUCUAUAGUUUAUAAAACUAAAAUAAAUUACCUUAGGGAUAACAGCGUAAUUUUUCUUUAAAGUUCUUAUUGUAAGGAAAGUUUGCGACCUCGAUGUUGGAUUAAAAUAAAUUUUUGGUGCAAUAACUAAAAAAUUAGGUCUGUUCGACCUUUAAAAUUUUACAUGAUCUGAGUUUAGACCGGUGUGAACCAGGUUGGAUUCUAUCUUUAUAUAAAAAAAUAUAUUUUAGUACGAAAGGACCAAAUAUAAAUUAAAUUAAUUGU